rnacentral:lncRNA from 1 species
AGAUCAGGUACUUACAGUGAUACAAGACUAUUAGGUAAGUCUCAGUCAAUAAUCAGAUUUCACCAAUUUUCCCCAUAAGAUAUUUAUGCUAUUCUUUUCUUUCCCCCCUGAUCUCUGCUACCUUCUUAUAGUGGGCAAGGUAAAGUCUAUAUUGAAAUCGUUUAUCCACCUAAAAUGAGAUCAAUGGAUUAAUCAUAUUUCCCCUUUCCUCUUGUUUUACUACUGGAUAGAGGGGUAGAAGACACAGAGUGGGACUGUUUGAAGAGUGUUGAGAAACACACUUUAGCCUUAUAUUAACCUGCACAAGAACAAAUGCCCCUGUGUUGAUUCUGUCUUUACUGAAAACCAUAGAGAGUUACAAUGAUGAAACUUAUUUGAUUCUUGGUGAAAAUUAGCACUUUCUGGGAAAAAAAAAUGUUAGUUAUUCAUUUCCUUAUUCAUUUUCACUGUGGAUAUGUACCUCCUUAGAUUGCAAAUACUUUUGAAUUGUAUCUGGCAAUUCCAAGGCAUGUUGAGAGACCCAGUUGGCUAGAGAAGGUUUAUAUGGGAAAAGUAUGGGAGAGGUGCCUAAAAAGGUAGGUUUGUUACAAGCCUUAAAUACAUACUUCACCUAGGAUUUUAUUCUUUUGUCUUUUCCCUAGAGAGAAAGAUCCCAUCGUGAUCUUCCAGCAUGUUGGUCUCCCCUCUCCCUACCUUUGCAUCUCUUAUAUCCUCAAAUACUCUCCUAUGUUGAAUGCUGAAAGUCUAACGUCAACUGACAGGGAUUUGCCCUUUACCUAAGACACCUAUAACUUGGGGCAUGGGGGAAGGAGUUCUGCAACAGGAAUACCAUGAUGCUGUAAAGUACCUCAAUUUUAAUGGCCAUUUUGACAUUUCAGCCUGUUGUUUUAUUGAUUAUUUCCCUCUUAUGUGCAUUUGGUUGUCAUCCUCUUUACGCUUUUCCUCGGAUUUCUUCAGUCUGAUGGAAACCUUAAACAUGAUGAUAUGGUCUCACAAUAAAGGGUCUCUGCAGGUGCUGAGGAAAUGGAGCCAAGGCUCUCCCUUCCUACUUGAAGACAAAGGAUGGGUCAGGUGCUAGGAGGAAGGUGAUUGGAAAAUAUGUGUGCAUAUAGUUUGGAAACCUCCCUUUUCUUGCUCCACCUUUUGGAGAAUUUUUUCCUCUCCUCCGAGACCCAUUUGGACAGAAUUUUGGCUAAGUCAGGUGUCUAUGGGAGACCAUUCUUAUCUGGAGCCAGAGCUGAGACUGGAGGCCAAAGGGAAGCACCAUUUCAGGAGUAGUCAAGUAUAUUGUGUCUUUGGCUCUGGAAAAUUAAUUCCAAAAGGCACAUGUAGCCAGCAUUCAUGUCCUUUUAAAAAGCAAAUAGUGGACACAUAUCCAGCAAUAACCAACAAAUGUCGGAUAUAUCCAAGUCCAUCAUCUCUAGGCACAAGUUAGUUGCUGUAGAGAAAAGCCAGCAACCCUUAAACCUUUCUUUUGGCUACAGAUGGGUGACAAAAUAAUAAAGACAGGGGGAUUUUGGAAUAAGAUGAAACAAAAAUGAUAAAUGGAAAUCAUUUACUUUUAAGGGCUCUGAAAAGAGGUAGUGUUUCCCCAGCACUACCCCCACCCCCAACCGGUAUAGACUUGCUUGACACAGUAACUGGCAUUUCCGUCCUCAGGUAGAAAUACUCCAAAUAAGAAACUUGCUCGUGCAAUUGUGUUACUAUGGACUCGUGUGAUAUGUCUGAUGAAUUGAGUUAAUUCAUUCUUUAACUUAACUGGCAAGAUUUAAGGGUUCACAUUGAAAGCAUGAAUAACCAUUUUGUUCCUUGAAAGACUCCAGUUUAAUGCCUCCUGAUGUCAGUGUAUUUUGCCCAGGGUUAAACUUGCUAUAUGAAUUAUUCACUGCUUGAUGGAAUGAAUGGGACCAUGUUUGCCCACAAAAUGUUAGCUGUGGUUAUCUGACACGAUGGGGCACAGCAGAUGCCUACAAAGGACAAUGGAUAAUUUAGAAUGUGGUUCCAGGGCCCAGCCAUUGCCGUUAAGAUCUUUAGAGGAAGCAUAGCACCUUCUUGUCUUGCACCACACAUCAAGAUGGCCUUAGUGAGCCAAGAAACUCUUAGCCUUAAAAAAAAAAAAAA